AUGCUCGGCCGCCUGGCGUCGAUCGUUGCCAAGGAGCUGCUUAACAGGCAGCGCGUGGUGGUGGUCCGCUGCGAGGAGAUCUGCAUGUCCGGCGACCUCGUCCGCCAGAAGAUGAAGUACCUCCACUUCCUCCGCAAGAGGAUGAACACCAAGCCCUCCCACAGCCCCAUCCACUUCCGCGCCCCGGCCAAGAUCCUCUGGCGCACCAUCCGCGGGUACGUCACAAUUGCCGCGCUCGAUUCCCAGGGUCCUGUGGCGGCUGCACGAGACUCACUUGACGACGGCCCCUCGCUCGCCCGGUUCCGACGGGUUUCCCUCCCCGUCGACUAG
rnacentral:rRNA from 1 species